GUCAAGUCUCUAAUCUAUAAAUAAAUAUUCUCAUCUCUGCUUCCUCUUCUUCCCUCACUUUGAUCUUCUUCUUCCACGCUUUGCUAUCGAGAGUCAAAAUUACGGUUUCUCUCUAUCUCUCUCCAGAGUAUAAAGGUUGUGUGGAGGAGCUUUCGAAGAUGGAGGUAGUUGGAAAAUCUAGCUCUGCCAAUGUUAUUUACUUGUCUGCCAUUCUAGGCCAUCGCGACUGCGACGACGACUCUCACAAAUGCGACUGGAAAUGCGAGAACGAAAACGUUUUCGGGAACAUGUACCGCUGCAGACUAACCGGACUCACUCACGUCUGCGACAUCAACUGUAACCAGAGGAUCCUCUACGAUAACCACACCGCUCUCUGCAGAGCGAGCGGGCGGGUUUUCCCUCUCUCGCCUGCUGAGGAGCAGGCGGUGAGAGGGGUUAGGAGGAAGCUUGACUGUGUUGAGAGUACAGAGAGCUGUUCGUUUAAGCGUCGUCGCCGCAGCGAUGCUCCUCCUCAGUUCAAAGCUUCUCCUUUCGAGAGGUCUUUCGCUGCUGCUGUGAGGAGUCCUAUCUGCAGUCCUGCUGGAGACGGGAUGGACUUGAGUUAGAUGAUCCAUGCAACUUCUCUUCUUGAGAGACCUGAGAGGCUCCUUUAAUAAGACGUCCUCAUGUGUUUGUGCUCAGCAGGCAGCAGCUCGCUUGGUUUCAUUCAGUGGCAACAUAAGCUGAUGCUCCUUAACUAUGAGAGAAAAGAAGGCAGUGAGCAGGCACAGUUACACAGAGAGGAUGUGCUUGGCCAACUACGUUCAAAACUACAAGCUAUUCAUGGUACAAAUCUCUUUAGAAUGUAGAGUUUCUGAUGAAGUUCAUGGAAUCUGGGCUCUUAUGGUACUCCGACCUAAAUGGCUAAAUCACAGUCCUGCUUUACAGAAAGGUAGAGACGUAGGCAUUCGAUGGUUUGAUGCAAGAGCCUAGAUUUUCUGGAAUCGUGGAAGAUUCUGUUCCAAAGAAGUUGGCAAAGUAUCAAAUGUUGACUCCACCGCUACGACAAGAUACGGCUCUGGCACCCCGCCACUACCCACAACAGGAUUCAAACUUGACGUGGGACAGUCCGUUAGCAUUCCCACGGUUCAAGGCUGGUCAGGUCGAAUAUGGGCUAGAACCGGCUGCAACUUUGACACCAACGGUACAGGAAAAU